GCCGAAGUGGUGGAAUUGGUAGACACGCUGUCUUGAGGGGGCAGUGGCGUAAGCCGUGCCGGUUCGAGUCCGGCUUUCGGCACCA
rnacentral:tRNA from 1 species